UACGUAGGGUGCGAGCGUUGUCCGGAAUUAUUGGGCGUAAAGAGCUCGUAGGCGGUCUGUCGCGUCUGCUGUGAAAACCUAGGGCUUAACUCUGGGCGUGCAGUGGGUACGGGCAGGCUAGAGUGCGGUAGGGGAGACUGGAAUUCCUGUGUAGCGGUGAAAUGCGCAGAUAUCAGGAGGAACACCGGUGGCGAAGGCGGGUCUCUGGGCCGAUACUGACGCUGAGGAGCGAAAGCGUGGGGAGCGAACAGG
rnacentral:rRNA from 1 species